AAACGUACACGUACAAAACAGCCAUUAAUGGCCACGUUGAACCCCUUGAUCUACCUGUACCGACCUCCCCUGACCCUCUAUAAAAGCUUAGGGCGUCGCCCAUAAUCUCCUCAUUCGAAGCCCUCUCUUUCAGGAGCAUAUACCCCUGCCCAUCGUCGUAAAUUGCUCGCCGGAGUUGCUUGACACCGCGGCUGUUCGUGGAAGUUUCCGGCGAGUUCCAGUCGGAGCACAAGUUCUUCGUUGUCCGCUUUCGGUCGGAGUUGCGCCCAACUCCGGCGACAUCUAGCAGCCACCUGAAGGCGAACCAGGAGCCGACGUCGUGUCCUGGAGACUCACCCCGACUUCCUCUCCCUUGUCCACUUCUCUUACGUUGCCGGAGAUCACCGCAUCACCUCGCAUCCGAGCCGCCGCUGCCGGCCAUCUCCAUCUCCGAAAAACCUUCAUGGGACGCGAAGGUGGAGCCCACAGUGGAAUUUACAUGGAAAUCCAAGGCCCCACUUCGAUGCAGGUUCUUUCUGUGGCUCGCGAUGCACAAUAGGUGUUGGAUCUCGGACAGGCUUGCUAGGCGUGGAUUGGACCAUCAGGACGGGUACCCUUCUACACUCAGCAUGAGGAGACCAUUGAUCACCUUCUCAUCGGUUGCGUAUUCGCGAGAUAGAUUUGGUCUGUCAUCUGUCGAACCUUAGAUAGACCACAGUGGACGCCGAGUCACGACUCGAGACUGCGGGUUGGUGCGCCGUCACAAGUACAAUAGGUUCCAGAGCAAAGGAUACACGAGCAAUCUUACUACUCGUAUUGUGGAAGAUAUGGAAGCACCGGAACAUGAUGGUCUUUGACGGCGCCCCCUAUCUUCACGGGCGCUCGUGAGUAGAAUUGAAGCUGAGGGGCGCGCAUGUAAACAUGCCUGAAUCCUAAAAGGUAAUGUAGAGUCUCUCUUUGGAGGGCAAGCUAGGUGGGCAGAUGCGAGAAGUUAGGCUAGAGUAGUUUGUUCCGGCUUGAUCGGUGGAGUUGGUCCAUAUGUAACAUGUACUUGUCAACGUGGAGGGGUUCCUUUUCCCAUCCUCUUCUUGAAUAUAUAGUACGCACAUUCGAGAAAAAAAAAAGAAAAACCUACUCAGACAGUAAUUGGUUUUUUGGCAAGGUGAGGCAAGUAGUAAAACUUCUUUUUUUUUCACCUACACAGACCGCACAGCGGGGCCUCUCACUUUCUUCCCUCACAGCCAGUGUGUUCCUCUAACUCAUAUAGAUUUAUCCUGUCACCGGUGCCUCCCUUUCCUCAACGGCGUAGCCCGUAUUCUUCUCCCCUCCACGGUGGUGGCCGGUUCCCACCUCUCCCCGCCAUCUCUCCUCCACGCCACUGGCGGAGCCCGUCCCCUUCUGUCCCCAUAGCCUUCCUUGCCUCGACGGUGUCGCCCGCAUCCUCCUCUCCCCGGUACGGUGUCGCUGUCCUCCUUCUCUGGCCGACAAACUCUGGCGCCGCCGCAUCGAGACCGAGCCAGCGCGCCCGCCGGCUCUGGCAUCUUGGUCAACCAAAUCGGGGUGGUCGGUGCAGAGGGACUCGCUGGUCUACAUCUGGCACAACGGUGUGGCGCGGCGAGGCGACGCCCUCGUCGUCGGGCAAAGUCUUCUACCGCAGCCGAGCCAUGCCAAGGAGUACACACCGUCGCGCUGAGGGCGCCCACUAUUAGACUAUGUAUAGCUUCUGUACCUAUGUACGUAUAUGAUACAUAUUGUAACACAACCAUUAUAUAUAAUGAGAUAAGCCACCCCUAGAGGGUUGUGCUGGUUCCCCAAAACUUA